rnacentral:lncRNA from 1 species
GCGUGAGUAAAGCUUACUCAGCAGCCAUGGAAGCAACUCUUAUUUAUAGGAACAUCAACGGUAAAAAUACCGGUAUUACACUGUUUACCAAACGGUAACUAAAACAGUAAAAUUGGAUAAGCGUAAACGCUGCGUUUCAGAGGAACGCUUUACACAAUUGACUUAACGGACUACUUCUGUUAUAACGGCGUUAGCAAAAUCCUGCCUUUGCCUUAUCACUCCGUUAGCUGCUGUAUGAACUUCACGAGCAGCUGUAUGAACUCCU